rnacentral:pre_miRNA from 13 species
UAAUUUGUUCAAGGCAUGUUAUUAUCUAAUUAUGACAGAUUCAUAUCUAACUGCUCAGAAUCAUUCAUUAUCAUAAGUCCGACUACAUCAUUGACACUUAUAAAAUAUAAUUGGAAGAAAAGGUUCAUCAAAUUAUGAU